UCAUCAAUCAUCUGUGCACAUAAUCUAAGGUCACCUACCAGUCGGAACCCCUCUAAUGGUCUGUACGACUGGCAUGUCGGAACCACCCCCGGUGGUCUGUACGACUAGCAUCUACUUGGAUCCAAGGUGAGCAUACGAUGCGGUGAAUAAUAAUAAGCACUAAUACCCAAGGUGCAGUUUAUGAGCUCAACAUAUCUCAACAUCAUCAUAACAGUAAUAAUACUCACCUGAUACUCACCUGUGUGUCCACAGCACCAUUUCAUAUAUAUGCAUCAUAUCUCAAUUCAUACUUUUCAUAUCAUUUCAUGCAUGGCAAUUCGAUUCACAUUUCUAUAUACUUUUCAUAUCAUUUCUAUGCAUGGCAUUUCAAAUCACAUUUUUCAUAUGAAUCUAUGCAUGGCAUUUGAAAGCAUACUUCCGUUAAAUUCAAUUUCUGGGAAAACGUCAAGUACAUAUAUAUACGGAAAACAAAAACUGCCCACUCACCUGGAGUUCGUCCAACAACUCCCUAGCACCACACAUCAAGGCGUCACGACGAUCGCCGCCUAGAAUAAUAAUCAAAUCCAGGCUCAGAAUUCAUAUCGAUAAAAAUAUAUAACUUAUAUAAAAUACGUCACUACGUAGUUCGAUUCGGAAGAUCCACCACUCAGAUUUUAAAUCCAUAACUUCCAGAGGUCCACAUUAUACCUCUAGGACAACAUCCUAAAAUUUCAUUACCAUCCAACGGUCGGAUCUCCGUCAAUUUCCAAAACUAAGUGACGGUUAACAUUUUAUAUUAUGGACUUACAAUUCCAAUUCCGGAAGAUCCGUAACUCGGAUUCCUAAUCCAUAAGUUCCAAUAGUCCUUAAAUAUUACGUAUUGCAACGUAUCAAAGUUUGGUGACGAUCCAACGGUCGGAUCAUCAAUUCACAUUUUCACCAAAACUACUAUAAAACGUUAUUCGAACACCUAACCAACAAUCCUUAAUAACUUUCUCAUACGGUGCUCAAAUUGGGUAUAUGAAUAUACCACGGUGAUCUACUCGACGUCACGGACGUCGACAUAUUUUUAAAAUAAUUUUAUUUUUAUUUUUAUUUUUUUACUGUAGCACCUUCUUCUUCCUUGGGUCGCCGGACUGGUUUUUCCGGCGGCCGUUUUUCCGGGCAGUUUUUCAAAUUGCCAUAACUUUGUCAUUUCUCAACGAAAUCAAGUGAUUCAAAAACGAAAGUUGUAGCCCUUGAAGAGACAAAGAGAAUGGUACCUUGCACAACACCUAGUUCGCCGUGGUUUGGCCGGAAACUGCCUCGAAAGCCUCGGAGGUCGCCGGAAACUGGGUAUUUUUCAAAUGAGUAUAACUUCUUCAAUACUCAACGAAAUUGAGUGAAACAAAAAGGAAAGUUGUAGUACUUGACGAGACGAAGAGAUUGAUACCUACCUCGACUCCUAACUCGCCGGGGAUUCGCCGGAAAAUGCCUCGAAAGCUCCGGCCAAACUUUGAACUCGUCGAUCUCCGUGUUCUUUCGUCCAAAAACUUCCAACGAAGCACUCCGAGCUUCGUGGGAACCUCCUAGAGCUCCCUGUGAGCUUAGAUUUCCCUAAAACACAACAUAUUCAAAGAUCAUGAACAGUGCUCUUCACGGGAACUUUUAAAAACUACGUUUUCCGAAGUAGAACUUACCUGAAAUUGAUGUCUACGUGAUCGUGGAAGUUCCAGGAGUCCAAAUGUGGUCUUACCUUGGACGUUUGUUUAUGUUUUAGGUGGUUUUGGGUGAGGUUGAGCGUCGGAGAGGAAGAGAGAGAGAACUGAGAGUGAGAGAGAGUCGUGAGGGAAGAGAGAGAGACAGGGUACGGGAAAGAGGGAAAGAAUUAAGGGGUGUGGGAUCCUACCCAAUCCCCAACUACAAAAUUCUAACAUAAAUUUAAAUCUAAGUCUCCACUCUACUUACCAAAUUUUAGGAACUUAGAUAUAACGAACGUAAAAAUUUAUACCUUAGUCACGUAUUAGGGGCAUUUUCGUAAUUUCACGUCCUUGGAAUUAAAAAUUCCGGGACGGGCUGUGACAAUCUCCCCUCCUUAUAGAAUUUCGUCCCCGAAAUUCCAGCAACCAACUAAAUCAUCUAUACUCAUACAAUUUCCUCGGGUAAAUCUCUCUCAUCCGAUUCUCUUUCUCCAACAUAAUUUUCUACUGAAUGAUUUCCUUCAACAAGCUUUUACCACUUACUCUGUCUCAAUUCUCAGGACCUUCUUUUUCCAAUCCAAAGUCGUCCUUGGUUCCUUAUCAAGUCGAAUCCAAUUUAAUUCUCAAUAGUUGCACCAGAAUCCCAUGUGACGAGUCUGCCACCUAGUGACAACGCAUCGAAAUAUAAUGCAUUAUGCACCUUAGACAAUUUUGAAGGCAUCAUAAACUUAUAUGCAACUUCAUCGAUUCUUUUAAUGAUCAAAACGGUCUGAUGUGUUUAAGACUUAUCUUGUCUUUUCUUUCUGAAUCUUACUAUUUCUGUUCAUGGUGAAAUUCCAAAAUAUCAAACCAUUUACCUUACACACUCGAUUAGUGGCAUAUCCAUCUGUUGAUCUCUUUUUGCCAUUCCUGGUUACUUCAGGUUAACUUAAUCACCUGAAUACUUUGAGGAGACUCAUCCAUAGUCUCAGGGUCUACUAAAACUCCUUCGUGAUCGAAUCUUUCUUUUUCCCCUUCUUUCCUUGCCUUGGUUAAUUCUUAAAUUUCCUCGUCAAAUGUUUAAGUUUCGAGUACGACCUUACCAAACAUGCCUAACUUGAAAUCUAACAAGUAGAGCUUCUUCUCGAUCUCCAGUUCUCAACUUUACUUCAGUUGAUUUCCGAUCCACAAGAAGAUAAUCUUGGCAAACUUACCAAUCAUUAAUUCUUACUAGAGUCUUCUCAUCAAGUGCUUCAGCUACAACAAUUCACGAUCACCCUGAUCGUACAAUCAUAAUCACUAAGUAAUUCAAUCCACCUUUGUUGCCUCAUAUUGAAAUCCUUCCGAGUAAACAAAUAUUGGAGACUCUUUUGAUUUGUAAAAUCUUGCAUUCUUAUCAACAUAGAAUGUCUCCAUAACUUCACAGCAAUGAUGGUAAUCGUGACUUCCAAAUCACCAGUAGGGUAAUUCAUCUCAUGAGAUUCCAUUUGUCUUGAAACGUAUGCAAUCACCCUAACAUUUGCAUCAACAUGCAUCCAAUACCAUUCAAGAAACAUCACUAAAAAUUUAUGAUUACCACUAUUCUCUGGGAUUACUAAAAUACGUGCAUGAGUAAGGAAAUACUUCAGUUGUUGAAUCCUUUGCUCACAAUUUCCUUCCCAUUCAUACAUAACCUCUUUUCUCAACAGUCUCGUCAAUGACAAAGCAAUGACUGAAAAAAAUUUUCACAACCAUCCAAGAUAGCCUGGUAAGCUAAGAAAUUCUAAAUCUCAAUUACGACUCGUGGUUGUUCCAAAUUCUCAAUUUCUGCUAUCUUUUAAGGAUUCACUUGAAUACCUUAAGAAUAUAUAACAAAUCUCAGAAUGCCACAUGAUUCAUCUAACUUUAGCAUUUGCUACUUAGCAUACAACCGACAUUCUUCCAAUCUUUGUUCCACCGACUUAAUACGUUUACAUGUUCUGCUCUGGCUCAGAAUAUGCCAGAAUAUCUUCAAUGAAAAUGAUAUCUAUUUAUCAAGGCAUUAUUGGAAUACUUCAUCCAAUAACUCAUAAAACAACAUGAGUAUCCAUAUAGCAUCACCAAACUUCAUAAAGACUAUAACGAGUCCAUAAAAAAACAAUCUUAGGAACAACGUUACUCAAAUCUUCAAUUGAUAAUAAACAGACUUCAAGUCAAUCUUUGAAAAUAUACAAGCACCUUUGAACUGAUCAAAUGAGCAUCAAUACACCACAAUGGAUAACGGUUCUCAUUCGUUACCCGAUUCCAUUAUCUAUAAUCAAUGAACAAUCUCUAAGUCCAUUUCCUUUCUCACCAACAAACUGGUGCUCCUCAACAGUGUUGUACUAGGUUGAAUAAAACUUUUAUCAACCAAUUCUCUCAACUGAAUUUCCUAUUCCCUUAAUUCAUCCUGAACCAAUCUCCAAUAUAAAUUUAUACCUGGCAACAAAUCAAUAGUGAACCUCAUAUCUCUGCCUGAAGGAAAUCCAGGUAUACUUUCAAGGAAGACAUCAAGAAAGUCUAACCCCUUUUGACAUUAUUCACACUACUCCAAACAACAUCAUUUAGCACCACAUGAGCUAAGUAUUUUUGACAGCCUUUCGAAAACAAUUGCUUUGCUCUCACAGCAUAAAUAACGGCCUGACUCAAUCCAUUUUGCAUACUUACAAAAGUAAUCUCUGGUCAUCCAGAUCGAUGGAAAGUAACUGGUUUCCCGUAAUAUUCCAUCUAGUCACAACUAUAAAUAAUCAAUCUAAUGGAAUAAAAUUAACUGACCCAAUACAUACUUUAUUAUUACUGAACAUUCUAAAUAAGUACAACACUAACAUAAAAUAACAUACCGGUUUGCUUGCUUAACGAAUCCACGAAUGAGUUAUUAAUAUUACGGUCUGCAGCCCGCAAUACUGAUAAAUCAUCGUUGUCUCGAUAAGUAAGCAACAAUUCCCAAAGGUGUAAUACUAUCAUUUUUUUUUUCAUUAGAAUACACAUAUACGCCUCUAUCACGUUCCAACAUUACUUUCUUUGGCAUCAUCGUCCAUACUCAGAAAUAUAUCAGCCGGAGUCAACUAGAAUGACCUGUACGGCUGAUUCUCCAGCUCAACCAUCUAUGCUAGCACAUUAGUCGGAGUCACUUAUAGUGACCUGUACGACUUACACAUCAAUUCCCCAGUAAAUACGUCGGCCGGAUCCACAUCUUGUGGUCCGUACAGCCGAGCCUAUAACUCACCAAUUUCUCAUGUGUCAGCCGGAUCCACCUCUUGUGGCCUGUACGGCUGAACAUAUAACUCAUCAAAUCUCUCGGUACUCAUGGUCAAUCCAACCAAACUACUAAGUCCAUAACUCUGCUGAAUUGACACUAUGAUAUCAUGGAAAAUUGUUGAGUACAACUGAUUAUAGGGACGAUUCACAAUUAUGUGUCCCCUCUGUUUACAUAAACACAUUCAUUAAUUUCACAUUUCCCAAAGUGUUAAUUUUGUACCUGCUGCACAAGGUACAUUUCCUUUACUCGAGACACCUUGUCUCAAAUAUCUGGGAUUAUCAGUAUAUCCAUCACUUUUAUUCUGACCAGCGACAUUAAAAACUCAGCUGGAAGAAUUAACUCUAGCUUCAUUUCUUUCGAAGCUCUGAAUCUUUCUAUAUCCUUGAUAUGACGAAUCAUUAACUCUAUCGUCUUCUUUUGAUUCCCAUUCAUUUCUUAUUCUUCUUUAUUCUCGUUGCUCAUGUUCUCAGAGUCCUCAAGACUCAACAACAUCUAGCAUACUCCUGAUAAGAACUACAAUGGAUAGUGGUCACCCAAAAUACCACUUCCCUUUUUGCCACCCAGCUUAAAACAACAUAACACCUCCACCAAAUUAACAACAAUAUCUGGAUGGAACGAGGCAAGUCUGAAAACUUUCUAUAAUAUCCCUCGAUCAUCACCUUCCUUGUCUCAUAUUUGUAAACUCUUGUUUACUACCAUCGAUCAAUGCCGGAGGAAUAAACUUUUUCCUUAAACAAGUCCUUAAACAAUUUUAAAUCGGCUGUUCCUCCGGUGACAACAAAUCAUACUCCUGUUUCCACCAGGAUACAAAUUCAUACCCAAAACUAGGUAGUCGUCUCAACCCCUUGUCAAAAGGAAAUUUCCAUUGACUUGCAUAAUCUGAAACAUCUUUUCCAAAUGGUUAAACCGUUACUUCGCUCCCUCAGGUUCAUCAUUUCAUAAGGUGAUUCAAAUUCAACUCAUAACCCGUCUUAAAAUGUCAAUUUUUAUAAUAGACUGAAUCACCAUAAAAAUAGUUUCCCCCAAACCGCUAAAUCAGGGAGACUAAAUUCCUCUAACUACGUGGUUUGCUACGAGGCGGUGUAGUUCUGACAGAAUUCACUCGGAAAUUCUCAAGAUGUCCAGGAUUGCAACCAUGCUCUGAUACCAACUGACACACCCCGUCCCGAAGGAGGGCAUGCUGGCCGUCACGUGAGAGUGACGUAACCAUUUGCACAGUACGGAAGCUUUAAGAUACAAUUCCUAAGUUGAUAUACACCCGAAAGUGAGUCCUAAUUUUGUCCAAUCUGUCAGAACACCGUCGAAUUCCUCGUAGUCACCACACCUUUGUGAUUCAUGAACCUGGAGGGGCGCAAAACCAAAAUUGAGUGGGUCAGUAAAACAAUUCUUUUUCAAAUCCAAACAUUUCUCAAAACGUUGUAACCCCUCUCCGUAAAACCUGUAUACUUUCCCAGAAAUGUAAAAUAUAAAUAUACAUAUAUAUUCUCAAUACUUCAAUUCAUUAACUCAACAUUUUUCAGUACAAAUAUGCCAUGCCAUGUCUAAAUUCAACAGUAUAAUAUGAAUGCAUCAACAUAAAUCAGGUGAAAGAAAAUAAUCAACCGGGGACCCUACAAUGGUCCUGUACGGUUGAAUCUAGAGCUCAAAAUAUCAUCUAACCGGAGUCACCAACUGUGACCUGUACGGCCAUGCCGGAGUCACCUAGUAUGACCUGUACGGCACUACACUGCACAUAAGUCGGAAUUACCUAAUGUAAUCUGUACGACUUAAUGGUGUAAUAAUAUGCUCUAGUGCUUUUCUCAUCAAUCAUCUGUGCACAUAAUCUAAGGUCACCUACCAGUCGGAACCCCUCUAAUGGUCUGUACGACUGGCAUGUCGGAACCACCCCCGGUGGUCUGUACGACUAGCAUCUACUUGGAUCCAAGGUGAGCAUACGAUGCGGUGAAUAAUAAUAAGCACUAAUACCAAGGUGCAGUUUAUGAGCUCAACAUAUCUCAACAUCAUCAUAACAGUAAUAAUACUCACCUGAUACUCACCUGUGUGUCCACAGCACCAUUUCAUAUAUAUGCAUCAUAUCUCAAUUCAUACUUUUCAUAUCAUUUCAUGCAUGGCAAUUCGAUUCACAUUUCUAUAUACUUUUCAUAUCAUUUCUAUGCAUGGCAUUUCAAAUCACAUUUUUCAUAUGAAUCUAUGCAUGGCAUUUUGAAAGCAUACUUCCGUUAAAUUCAAUUUCUGGGAAAACGUCAAGUACAUAUAUAUACGGAAAACAAAACUGCCCACUCACCUGGAGUUCGUCCAACAACUCCCUAGCACCACACAUCAAGGCGUCACGACGAUCGCCGCCUAGAAUAAUAAUCAAAUCCAGGCUCAGAAUUCAUAUCGAUAAAAUAUAUAACUUAUAUAUAAAAUACGUCACUACGUAGUUCGAUUCGG
rnacentral:lncRNA from 1 species